rnacentral:rRNA from 1 species
GACGAACGCUGGCGGCGUGCCUAAUACAUGCAAGUAGAACGCUGAAGAGAGGAGCUUGCUCUUCUUGGAUGAGUUGCGAACGGGUGAAUAACGCGUAGGUAACCUGCCUUGUAGCGGGGGAUAACUAUUGGAAACGAUAGCUAAUACCGCAUAACAAUGGAUGACACAUGUCAUUUAUUUGAAAGGGGCAAUUGCUCCACUACAAGAUGGACCUGCGUUGUAUUAGCUAGUAGGUGAGGUAAUGGCUCACCUAGGCGACGAUACAUAGCCGACCUGAGAGGGUGAUCGGCCACACUGGGACUGAGACACGGCCCAGACUCCUACGGGAGGCAGCAGUAGGGAAUCUUCGGCAAUAGGGGCAACCCUGACCGAGCAACGCCGCGUGAGUGAAGAAGGUUGUCGGAUCGUAAAGCUCUGUUGUAAGUCAAGAACGGGUGUGAGAGUGGAAAGUUCACACUGUGACGGUAGCUUACCAGAAAGGGACGGCUAACUACGUG